rnacentral:rRNA from 1 species
UACAGAGGGUGCGAGCGUUAAUCGGAAUUACUGGGCGUAAAGCGCGCGUAGGCGGCUUUUCAAGUCGAUUGUGAAAAUCCCCCGGGCUUAACCUGGGAACUGCAUUUGUGACUGCAUAGCUAGAGUACGGUAGAGGGGGAUGGAAUUCCGCGUGUAGCAGUGAAAUGCGUAGAUAUGCGGAGGAACACCGAUGGCGAAGGCAAUCCCCUGGACCUGUACUGACGCUCAUGCACGAAAGCGUGGGGAGCAAACAGG